rnacentral:rRNA from 1 species
GAUGAACGCUGGCGGCGUGCCUAAUACAUGCAAGUCGAGCGAACGGACGAGAAGCUUGCUUCUCUGAUGUUAGCGGCGGACGGGUGAGUAACACGUGGAUAACCUACCUAUAAGACUGGGAUAACUUCGGGAAACCGGAGCUAAUACCGGAUAAUAUUUUGAACCGCAUGGUUCAAAAGUGAAAGACGGUCUUGCUGUCACUUAUAGAUGGAUCCGCGCUGCAUUAGCUAGUUGGCAAGGUAACGGCUUACCAAGGCAACGAUGCAUAGCCGACCUGAGAGGGUGAUCGGCCACACUGGAACUGAGACACGGUCCAGACUCCUACGGGAGGCAGCAGUAGGGAAUCUUCCGCAAUGGGCGAAAGCCUGACGGAGCAACGCCGCGUAAGUGAUGAAGGUCUUCGGAUCGUAAAACUCUGUUAUUAGGGAAGAACAUAUGUGUAAGUAACUGUGCACAUCUUGACGGUACCUAAUCAGAAAGCCACGGCUAACUACGUG